GACAGAGGGGGCAAGCGUUGCUCGGAAUCACUGGGCGUAAAGGGCGCGUAGGCGGGAUGGCAAGUCAGUCGUGAAAUCUCUCGGCUCAAUCGAGAAACGUCGGCUGAUACUGCCGUUCUUGAGGGAUGCAGAGGAGACUGGAAUUCCCGGUGUAGCGGUGAAAUGUGUAGAGAUCGGGAGGAACACCGGUGGCGAAGGCGGGUCUCUGGGCAUUUCCUGACGCUGAGGCGCGAAAGCGUGGGGAGCAAACGGG
rnacentral:rRNA from 1 species